rnacentral:rRNA from 1 species
UACAGAGGUCUCAAGCGUUGUUCGGAUUCAUUGGGCGUAAAGGGUGCGUAGGUGGCGCCGUAAGUCAGGUGUGAAAUUUCGGAGCUUAACUCCGAAACUGCAUUUGAUACUGCGGUGCUUGAGGACUGGAGAGGAGACUGGAAUUCACGGUGUAGCAGUGAAAUGCGUAGAUAUCGUGAGGAAGACCAGUGGCGAAGGCGGGUCUCUGGGCAGUAACUGACGCUGAGGCACGAAAGCUAGGGGAGCAAACAGG